CGUGCUUCAGCGUGUGUUUCUUUCCUCGACAUUCACCCAGUUUGGUCUAUUUUCUUACUCAAUAUGGGCCCAAGAAAGCCAACAAAGCGGCCUGAAAAGAAGGAGGGAUUUGCUGUGAACUUACAAAGGAUGGGGGGGGGGGUCGCAGCUUACUGCGAGGUUUGUUCUCCCGGGAAGCAACCGGACUAUUCCGGACAAGGCGUGAAGGUGAGACGUUCUGGUCUUCACACAGUCCAGUAACCCCAAAGCGAUGAGGAUCUCCCACACCUGGACAGCGCUGUAUUAGCCUCGGGCUGCAGUCGUACAACUUUCCAGGACUUCUACGAGACGCAUGCACCCACCUUCUCCCGGCGAGCCUCCGCCUUCUCCUGCAGCUUCAGGCGCUGUGCUGUGUCUACUUUGACCCAGGUUGCGGUCUCACCUGUCUUCCUCCACCACGGCCCCUCUCUUAUGGAGUACGACACGUCGCUGAACUCCAUGUUGACGGCUGGUCUCCGCGGCAACGAGGAGAACCUCUGGGCCUCGGUCAGGCUGGUGUCCAUCUUCCUCCCAUGUCCCGGAGGCGACGGCGCCCGCGCCUCGUCCACCCGGUCCACGAAGACGCACACGGAUCGAGGGUCCAGCAUCAGGUCUGGAGGCCCGUUGGUGUUCUGAAGGCGCAGACACACUUUUAGACAUCAAUCUGGGUGGAGUUUGUUGAUGUGAAAGCAAAGUGCUGAUGGGCCUGCUACCUGCGCUGUGAUCCUUUGGUUGGAAUGAAAUCAAUUAGCUAAGAUGCUAGCAUAAAACAUUAGCAUGAUGACAUAGGAAAAGUUAGCGUACUUCUAAGGUACAACCUAGUAUCAAAAGCCAUGGUUUUUAAGUUUAAGAAAAUAAAAUCAGCUAAAAUGCUAGCAUAAAAGUUUAGCAUGAUGACAUAGGAAAAGUUAGCCUUACUUUUAAGAUGCAACAAAGUAUCAAAAGCCAUGAUUUUUAGGUUAAAACAGAUAAAAUUGGCUAAAAUGCUAGCAUAAAACAUUAGCAUGAUGACAUAGGAAAGGUUAGCCUUACUUUUAAGAUGCAACCAAGUAUCAAAAGCCAUGAUUUUUAGGUUAAACAGAUAAAAUUAGCUAAAAUGUUAGCAUAAAACAUUAGCAUGAUGACAUAGGAAAGGUUAGCCUUACUUUUAAGAUGCAACCAAGUAUCAAAAGCCAUGAUUUUUAGGUUAAAACAGAUACAAAUUAGCUAAAAUGCUAGCUUAAAGCAUUAGCAUGAUGACAUCGGAAAAGUUAGCCUUACUUUUAAGAUGCAACCAAGUAUCAAAAGCCAUGAUUUUUAGGUUAAAACAGAUCAAAUUAGCUAAAAUGCUAGCAUAAAUCAUUAGCAUAACUUACGAAAAAUUAGUUUACUACUAAAAUGUCAUGUCAUGCUUUUUAUGUUCAAGCAUUUAAAAUGAGCUAAAAUGCUAGCAUAAAACAUUAGCAUGAUGACAUGGGAAAAGUUACCCUUACUUUUAAGAUGCAACCAAGUAUCAAAAGUAGGGCUGCAACAACUAAUCGAUUAUAAAAAUAGUUGGCGAUUAAUUUAGUCAUCGAUUUGUUGGAUCUAUGCUAUGCUAUGCGCAGAGGCUACUUUUUUUUUCUUUUCUUUUUUUCUUUUUUUUUAUAAACCUUCAUUUAUAAACUGCAUCAUUUACAAACAGUUGAGAAACAAUAAUCAAAAUAAGUAUGGUGCCAGUAUGGUGGUUUUUUUUCAAUAAAAUACUGGAAAGGAUAGAAAUGUAGUUUGUCUCUUUUAUCCGAUUUUUUUAAAAAAUCGAUUAAUCGAAGUAAUAAUCGACAGAUUAAUCGAUUAUCAAAUUAGUUGUCAGUUGCAGCCCUAAUCAAAAGCCAUGAUUUUUAGUAGGGAUGUCCGAUAAUGGCUUUUUUGCCAAUAUCCGAUAUUCCGAUAUUGUCCA